rnacentral:pre_miRNA from 12 species
AGCCAGAAUGAAAUUAUUUUGAUGUUGUAGAUACUGCAUCAGGAACUGAUUGGAUCCCAGGGAGCAGCCAUCAGUUCCUAAUGCAUUGCCUUCGGCAUCUAAACAA